GACCUUGAGAGGUCAUCUAGUCCAGUCCCCUGCAUUCAAGGCAGGACUAAGUAUUAUCUAGACCAUCCCUGACAGGUGUUUGUCCAACCUGCUCUUAAAAAUCUUCAAUGAGAUUAUGGUCUAGGAUGGACAUUCCAAAGUUCUCCUCCUCGGGGUCUUCUCUUUAGGAGCAUUAGCCUCUUUCUGCCUUAUUCUUUAGAAGCCCUUCUGGGAAUGCCAAGGCCUUAGCAGCCUGAAUGAUUUAUGAUCAGUAGCCUGCCGUAGCCUGGAGUCUUGUGCAGCUAAUUUUCACAUAACCUGUGAAUGUUUCAGCUCUUAAAUCUGCUGUGUACGUUUAAAAUAAACCUGUAUGCCAUUUGGGUGUAUAGUGCUCCCUACACAGAGUGGAAGUGCGUUCUAACAGUUUCAGUGUCAGGUUGAGCGGAGUCCAGAGUUCUGUCCUACCACUGCCAGUUUAUUACUCUGUGAUCAUGGUCAGGUGACAUAAGCCAUAAUUUGGCAAUUGGGUGCCUGAAGUUAGGCUCUGAAAUCUGUAUUUAGGCAUUUAAAUCAGUGGCCAGAUUUUCAGAGACGCUAAGCACCCACAACUCAGCUUCGCCCUCUCUCAGGUUAUAUCUAUGCUUCAAGGUAGGGGUGAAAUUCCCAUCUUGAGGAGCCAUACCCGCGCUAGCUCUGAUCAAGCGAGCACGCUAAAAAGAAUGUAGCUGCGGUGGUGUGAGCAGUGGGAGGGGCUAGCUGCCCUGAGUAUGGACAGGUAUGUAUUUGGGAUGGCUCACCCUUCCUGCUACUCGCUGUACUGCUGCAACGCUCAAUUUUUUGCAUGCUAGCUCACUUAGCGCUAGCAUGAGUAUGUCGGCUUGAGCUUGGAAUCACACGUGUGCACGCACACACGUAGGAGAGAGAGUAGUUCUGAUUCCAUCCAGUAGGGGGCAGUUCAUUACCCAUUUGUAUUUGAAAAUUCUAGAAAAUUCCACACAAAACUCCAGCAUUAAUGCAACAUGCAAAAGCAAGUUCUCUCACGGCUCCCCUGGCUGUAAUGGAUUAGUCUUCAUUUAAAGCUGAUUUAAUGCACAUUUCUGUUGCUGUUUAAAUAACACACCUGGUCCUAUGAACUAUCCCAGCAGGAGCAUUUUCUGAGGAAAAGACUCUCUGUUAAUUUCUACUACUCCCAGGCACUUACGCAGUGCCUUUCAUGCAAAGGUCUCAACGGGCUUUACAAACACACAGCAGUGAGUGAGAAAAAAAAGUUAGUAUUGUCACCAAAACGGUUGUGCCAUUCAGUGGUUGGGGCGGAUUUUCCUAAUAUGAUCAUUCCACUCUCCUUUCAGGCAAGCUCUCAUCAACAGUGAUAAAAUAUUGAGAUUUAAUCCAUCCUCAGUAGACUUCAGGGUUAACACCUCCUUGAGAUGGAGAAGGGUCUGAGAUGGGGUGUUCACCCUGCAACAGCACUGAAGGGGUUCAAGUGACUCAGAAGGGCCCAAUUCAUCUUAUAGGCCGCACCUGUGGGAGAGUCUGGCUUGAGCUGGGGCAAAAAUCAAACAAAAACCCUGGUAUUCUGUCCCUGAUGGAGGGGGUUUAUCCCGAGGAGUUGUGGGGAGAAAUAGCCUGUGGAAGGCAGAGGAGGAAAGAGCAGCGAGGAUUGAUACUGUGCAGACCUUGGCUGCUGAUUUUAGGGUCCCUGAACUGGAACAUGGAGUAGCAGGCGGGCUCAGUUCUCCUACCUGCCACUGGGGAAGGGGCACAGACUGGGAAUUAUAGAGCACUGCCUGAGACGGCCCCUGGGCAGAUUGUCGGGUGGGACUUGGCUACCCUGGAAGGGGAAAACUGUAUAAUGACGUAGCCAGAAGGCUGAGUCACAGAGAGCACCCCAAGUCCUGGAGAGCCUGUGGGGCGUGCGAAUGACAGACAGAAGGGGGCACCAAUCCAUGAGGAGGUGUCAGAGCAGGGAGUGAAACCCGUUACAGGGCCGGUCACACCUCUGAUAGCUAUUGGUUUCCAGGCUAGCUGUAGGCUCAAGCAGAGAUCACAGCAGUGGCGUGUUUGGUUCCUAUCUUGAAGGUUUUCAAUACAACUAUCAGGUUAGAGUUUUAAUUUAUUUUAAAUGAACACUUAGAUUCUGGAGCAGAAGAUGCAAUCAGCAGGGGAAAGUACCAGCUGGCUGUGCUGCCUAGAGCCAGGCCAAUAUGAACCUUGCAGAUAUAAUAACGGCAACACACCUGACCUGUUACAAAUGGGGAAACUGAGGCGCUGAGAGGUUAAGUGAUUUGCCCAAGAUCUCACAGUGAAUCAAUGGCAGGUGUGGGGAUGGAAGCCAGGCGUCCUGAGGCCUAGUCCUCAGUGGUAACCAUUAGGCUUCGUGCGUUCUCUCUUUCCUACUCGGUUCCAUUCCAUGAGUACUUUGCUGGUCUUCAGCGAGUGUGGACUUUUUAUGGUAACUGGACUGGAUUUAGAUGUCACCAUGUCCUGGAGAUUCCCCUGCGGCAGCUCUGUCUGUCUGUCUCUCUCUCUCGCUAUUCCCCCUCUU